rnacentral:rRNA from 1 species
UACGUAGGGGGGCAAGCGUUGUCCGGAAUCAUUGGGCGAAAGCGCGUGUAGGCGGCUUGGUAAGUCUGCUCUGAAAGCCCGGGGCUCAACCCCGGGAGGCGGGUGGAUACUGUCAAGCUCGAGUCCGGAAGAGGAGUGUGGAAUUCCUGGUGUAGCGGUGAAAUGCGCAGAUAUCAGGAGGAACACCGGUGGCGAAGGCGGAUCUCUGGGCCUUACCUGACGCUCGAGGCGCGAAAGCGUGGGGAGCGAACAGG